UACGUAGGGGGCAAGCGUUGUCCGGAAUUAUUGGGCGUAAAGAGCGUGUAGGCGGUCCGGUAAGUCAGCUGUGAAAGUCAAGGGCUCAACCCUUGAAUGCCGGUUGAUACUGUCGGGCUAGAGUCCGGAAGAGGCGAGUGGAAUUCCCGGUGUAGCGGUGAAAUGCGUAGAUAUCAGGAGGAACACCUGUGGUGUAGACAGCUUACUGGACCAUUUCUGACGCUGAGACACGAAAGCGUGGGUAGCAAACAGG
rnacentral:rRNA from 1 species